rnacentral:rRNA from 1 species
GAUGAACGCUGGCGGCGUGCCUAAUACAUGCAAGGCGAGCGAACAGACGAGGAGCUUGCUCCUCUGACGUUAGCGGCGGACGGGUGAGUAACACGUGGAUAACCUACCUAUAAGACUGGGAUAACUUCGGGAAACCGGAGCUAAUACCGGAUAAUAUAUUGAACCGCAUGGUUCAAUAGUGAAAGACGGUUUUGCUGUCACUUAUAGAUGGAUCCGCGCCGCAUUAGCUAGUUGGUAAGGUAACGGCUUACCAAGGCAACGAUGCGUAGCCGACCUGAGAGGGUGAUCGGCCACACUGGAACUGAGACACGGUCCAGACUCCUACGGGAGGCAGCAGUAGGGAAUCUUCCGCAAUGGGCGAAAGCUUGACGGAGCAACGCCGCGUGAGUGAUGAAGGUCUUCGGAUCGUAAAACUCUGUUAUUAGGGAAGAACAAAUGUGUAAGUAACUAUGCACGUCUUGACGGUACCUAAUCAGAAAGCCACGGCUAACUACGUG